GCCAAGCUUGCUCUGGCCACACACAAGGUUGGGAGCUCAUGGAGGUAUGGGCCUGGCUGCUGGUGAGGCAGUGCCUGGGGCAGCCAAGAAGUUGCCUCUCUUUAAAGAAUAAAAAUGGUUUGCGUAUAGGAACUUCAGCUGAGCAACACUUUUGCAGAAGCAACAUAAAGGUGCAUAGACUCAUUGAGACCCGAAGGUGGCGAAGGAUCCCGAGUCAGCCCUGCUCUCUCUGCUGCACAUUCAGAAGCAGUGGUGGUCUACAUGUUUUCAGGUUUUGAACCCAUCCAGCUCUUACUUUUCUGUCUCUAGCAGCUAAAGACAACUUCAACGUCCAUGUUGUUUAAUUGCCAACGCUAAGUAUGACUCACAAGCAAUCUGCUGGGUUGUGGGUUUAUAUUUGGCAAUUGUGACACUUCUGUGGCAAUUCACUGAGUUUAUGCUGUUCCCCCAACUCCCAUGUCCACCCCUGUUUUUUUCAGCCAGUCCAGAUCCGGUUCAUGAUGGAGCCACAAACACAAUGAUGCCAACACAACAUGGGGCCUUCUCUUUUGGCAGCUGAAUAGUUGGGAAGAUUUUUCAAGAACACUCAUGUCACAUUUUAAGCUCUAAAAUUCUGUAGCUGGGUAUUGAAAAACAGGUAGCAUCCACGAUCUCUUCUGAAAACAUAGAUCAUUGAAGACCUAUAAUUCCAACAGAAGUGUGAAGCACCUUAGAAACUGACUGAGAAGAACAAAGACAGAUCAACCAAAAGAAUGCUUAUAGAGUGGUGGAGUGUACAGUGUUUUCCACAUCUGCCCUUUGGGGUGGGCUGAUUAGGCUAUAGUCAAUAUCCAAGGUGAAGCCUGAAUUAACUGACUGCUCAAGACAAAGCAGCCUAUGAAAGGUCUGAAUCUUUUAUGAAGAUAAAAUGAGAACAUUUCAGAAUCAAGUGACAGAUAAAGGGAUGUCUUUGGGGCAAAACUUUCAUUAAAUCUUUAACUGAAGUAACAUUCAAGACAAAUGUUUCCCCAAAACAGUAAACUAUAGCCCAGGGCCGUCAGUGGCCUUACUUUGAAAGCAUCUUCAUACAAUCCUAGCUUAACCAGCUGGUGUCUAAACAUCUAUCUGAGUUGAAAAAAUAAAAAAUAAAAGCAAGCAAACA
rnacentral:lncRNA from 14 species